UUGUGCGGCGAACACGCGCAGAGUGAAGAUGGUCCUCCGGCGGUUCGUCAGUCGUCUGCUGUGGAACCUUACCCAAACCAGGGGGAGGCUGCAGCCUGCGCCGUCUUUGCACAGCUACCGGCUUGCAGGCUCCUGAUUCUCGAAGGAGGGUCCGAGGCACCACGAGGGAGUUAAAACGUCCACCGGUGUGUUAUUCUUAAAAGAAGGCUUGAAAGCUUUGGAAGCCCAGCCAGGGCAGUACCCCUUCACAGAGAUUCCAGGCUAGCCUGAUGACUGAAGGCCUAAGGUUUAGAAUUCUCUUGGAGAAGCACUUUUGGGGUGGCUGGGGUGUCCAGGUGAUGGUUCCUGCCACUUCAGCAACAGGCUGUGACAAGAAGUGGAGAGCAACAAACAUGCCUUCUACCUGGGUAUUACGUUUUAGGAUUUUGCUGACGCAGAGGAUGUCCUACCUGGUGUUGGUCAGAUCCUUGGAACUUCACAUGUUUCCUGCAUGAACCUGUGUGAGCAGCUGUCAAACUCUGGUGGAGAGGGGGUGGGCUACUUAGAUUUGGGGACCAAAGUCAAUUACGGGACCUUUAUUAGAAAGAUUGCAAUAAAAUGUUUUAAAGCAAAUAAAAAUAGGUGGGUCUGAG